GUGAAUUAAACAUGCUUGGUGUCUUCGCUUCGGCAAGGCCCUUGCUUAAAUCACAUCCUAACACCUGUGAACUGUAAGACGUAUGAUGAGGUCUUUGGCCAAGUCAUCGUCUACCCAUUUUUAACAAACAAUUAAUGUAACAAACGUAGUCUUAUUAUAACCUAAUA
rnacentral:misc_RNA from 1 species